rnacentral:ncRNA from 2 species
CGAAUAGGAUUGAGGUCCGGUGCCAGCAAUUUUGAAGAUUGCGGAGAAUCGGGAAGCCGGUGAAAGUCCGGCACGUGCCCAACGCUGUAUAGGGGAUGAUCCGCGCAUUAUGUCACAGUAGCCGAAAGGCUACCGGAAGGCGCGCGGUUCAGUUGAACCUGAGUCAGAAGACCGGCCGGACCCUAUAGCCCAAA